CUUGACCGAGCCCAGCCACAGCGGCCGGUCUUCGGGCCGGUCCUGCCCGUAGGUGGCGAGCAGUGCCUGCGCCUC
rnacentral:antisense_RNA from 1 species